AGCAAACGCUGGCGGCGUGCCUAAUACAUGCAAGUCGAACGGGGAAAGUAGCAAUACGAGUACUAGUGGCGCACGGGUGAGGAACACGUGGGUAAUCUGCCUUCGAGCGGGGGAUAACUAGUCGAAAGAUUAGCUAAUACCGCAUAAGACCACAAUGUCUGAGGACAAAGGGGUCAAAGUCGCAAGACACUUGAAGAUGAGCCCGCGUAAGAUUAGCUAGUUGGUGAGGUAAUGGCUCACCAAGGCGAUGAUCUUUAGCUGGUCUGAGAGGAUGAUCAGCCACACUGGAACUGAGACACGGUCCAGACUCCUACGGGAGGCAGCAGUAGGGAAUAUUGCGCAAUGGGGGAAACCCUGACGCAGCGACGCCGCGUGAGUGAUGAAGGCCUUCGGGUCGUAAAGCUCUGUUAUAUGGGAAUAAGAUCUGAAUGUACCAUGUGAGAAAGGAUCGGCUAACUUCGUGCCAGCAGCCGCAGUAA
rnacentral:rRNA from 1 species